rnacentral:lncRNA from 1 species
CUGAUGGAUCUAAAUUGUUUUGGAAAUUUAGAAUGUGAAUUGACCCUAACCUAUCUUUAUUAUUUAUCUAGAGACAGAUGUACUGAAGAGCUGCUUGAUAGAUGCUGGAGAGAAAUAUGCCGGUUUCUAAACUGGAUGGGAGAUGCCAAGUGAAUAGUGCUCUUGAAUCAUGAUGUCUGAUCAGUGUGUAACGGAAGUAUUCAGCUACUAUCCAAGGUAUUCUGGAUGGCAUGGACGAGGAGAAGAGGAAAGAGACAAAGCCUGGCUCGUAUUUGGACAUUGUUGGGCUGAGGACUGUAAUCGAUCCCCCUUCUGCCCCAGCGCUAGAGUAUGCUGAGGAGCAGCUGUACAAGCUGAGAUGACACUUGAUUUUGAGUUAAAGUGUAUUAUAGUGGCGUGGCAGCACCCAUACAGGUAAGGUUGUGUCAUGACAUCUGUUUAAAGGUGGACCUUUCUAAGUCCUCUAAAAUCUCAUGCUUACUUGGAAUUGGUGCCUCAGGAGGAUGCAGGGUAUAGAUAGUGACCCCAAUCUGGAGUCUUUUGAGUCAGGGAUUCCAGAGAUAUU